rnacentral:tRNA from 1 species
GCCGAGGUAGCCAAGCCCGGAUUAAGGCGCUGGUCUUGAAAACCAGUUUCUUCGGAAGCGUGAGUUCAAAUCUCACCCUCGGCGCCA